ACUGUUCUGCUACUGCAGGGGAGCUGAGAAGAAUAGCCAUGACCUGUUGGGUCAGUUUUCUCCUCUUGUUGGCAGCUCUCCCAGGGGUGAAGGCUCAGAUCCAGCUGGCCCAGUCUGGUGCAGAGGUGAAGAAGCCGGGGGAGUCUGUGAAGCUGUCCUGUAAAGGCUCUGGUUACACAUUCACUAGCUAUGCAAUCAGCUGGGUCCAACAGAUUCCCGGGAAAGGGCUGUUUGAUAUCGGCUGGAUUAGCACCGAUACAGGGGCACCAACCUACAGGGAGAAUUUUAAAGGGAAAGUCACCAUGACUGUGGACAAGCCCCUCAGCACGGCCUUUCUGCAAGUGAGCAGCCUGAGGGCUGAAGACACUGCAGUGUAUUAUUGUGCCAGAUACACACAGAGAGAGAAACCUCAUUCGGGGUCAUUCAGAAAAGGGAACUGGAUUGAAGUUACAGCCAGUGGCCUGGCAAGGAGCAGGUGUCUCUUCCUCCCCUGA